rnacentral:rRNA from 1 species
UAGGGAAUCUUCCGCAAUGGACGAAAGUCUGACGGAGCAACGCCGCGUGAGUGAUGAAGGUUUUCGGAUUGUAAAGCUCUGUUGUUAGGGAAGAACAAGUACCGUUCGAAUAGGGCGGUACCUUGACGGUACCUAACCAGAAAGCCACGGCUAACUACGUGCCAGCAGCCGCGGUAAUACGUAGGUGGCAAGCGUUGUCCGGAAUUAUUGGGCGUAAAGGGCUCGCAGGCGGUUUCUUAAGUCUGAUGUGAAAGCCCCCGGCUCAACCGGGGAGGGUCAUUGGAAACUGGGGAACUUGAGUGCAGAAGAGGAGAGUGGAAUUCCACGUGUAGCGGUGAAAUGCGUAGAGAUGUGGAGGAACACCAGUGGCGAAGGCGACUCUCUGGUCUGUAACUGACGC